GGUGAGGUAAAGGCUCACCAAGGCGACGAUCAGUAGCGGGUCUGAGAGGAUGAUCCGCCACACUGGGACUGAGACACGGCCCAGACUCCUACGGGAGGCAGCAGUGGGGAAUUUUGGACAAUGGGCGCAAGCCUGAUCCAGCCAUGCCGCGUGUCUGAAGAAGGCCUUCGGGUUGUAAAGGACUUUUGUCAGGGAGCAAAACUUACUGGUUAAUACCUGGUGAGGUUGAGAGUACCUGAAGAAUAAGCACCGGCUAACUACGUGCCAGCAGCCGCGGUAAUACGUAGGGUGCAAGCGUUAAUCGGAAUUACUGGGCGUAAAGCGUGCGCAGGCGGACUUUUAAGCCAGAUGUGAAAGCCCCGAGCUUAACUUGGGAAUUGCGUUUGGAACUGGGAGUCUAGAGUCUGUCAGAGGGGGAUGGAAUUCCACGUGUAGCAGUGAAAUGCGUAGAGAUGU
rnacentral:rRNA from 1 species